rnacentral:rRNA from 1 species
AUUGAACGCUGGCGGCAGGCCUAACACAUGCAAGUCGAACGGUAGCACAGAGAGCUUGCUCUCGGGUGACGAGUGGCGGACGGGUGAGUAAUGUCUGGGAAACUGCCCGAUGGAGGGGGAUAACUACUGGAAACGGUAGCUAAUACCGCAUAACGUCGCAAGACCAAAGUGGGGGACCUUCGGGCCUCACACCAUCGGAUGUGCCCAGAUGGGAUUAGCUAGUAGGUGGGGUAAGGGCUCACCUAGGCGACGAUCCCUAGCUGGUCUGAGGGGAUGACCAGCCACACUGGAACUGAGACACGGUCCAGAUUCCUACGGGAGUCAGCAGUGGGGAAUAUUGCACAAUGGGCGCAAGCCUGAUGCAGCCAUGCCGCGUGUAUGAAGAAGGCCUUCGGGUUGUAAAGGACUUUCAGCGGGGAGGAAGGCGGUGAAGUUAAUAACUUCACCGAUUGACGUUACCCGCAGAAGAAGCACCGGCUAACUCCGUGCCAGCAGCCGCCGUAA